CACGUAGGGUGCAAGCGUUGUCCGGAAUUAUUGGGCGUAAAGAGCUCGUAGGCGGUCUGUCGCGUCGGCUGUGAAAUCCCGAGGCUCAACCUCGGGUCUGCAGUCGAUACGGGCAAACUAGAGUAUUGCAGGGGAGACUGGAAUUCCUGGUGUAGCGGUGAAAUGCGCAGAUAUCAGGAGGAACACCGGUGGCGAAGGCGGGUCUCUGGGCAAUAACUGACGCUGAGGAGCGAAAGCGUGGGGAGCGAACAGG
rnacentral:rRNA from 1 species